rnacentral:rRNA from 1 species
CCUACGGGGGGCAGCAGUGGGGAAUAUUGGGCAAUGGGCGCAAGCCUGACCCAGCAACGCCGCGUGAAGGAAGAAGGCUUUCGGGUUGUAAACUUCUUUUUUCAGGGAAGAGUAGAAGACGGUACCUGACGAAUAAGCCACGGCUAACUACGUGCCAGCAGCCGCGGUAAUACGUAGGUGGCAAGCGUUUUCCGGAUUUACUGGGGGUAAAGGGCGUCUAGCCGGGUUGACAAGUCAGAUGUGAAAUCCUGCGGGUUAACCGCAGAACUGCAUUUGAAACUGUUGAUCUUGAGUACCGGAGAGGUAGACGGAAUGCCUGGGGUAGCGGUGAAAUGCGUAGAUAUUAGGAGGAACACCGGUGGCGAAGGCGGCCUGCUGGACUGCAACUGACGUUGAGGCCCGAAAGCGUGGGGAGCAAACAGGAUUAGAUACCCCUGUAGUC